AUUGAACGCUGGCGGCAGGCCUAACACAUGCAAGUCGAACGCGUGGCGGACGUGUGAGUCAUGUCUGGGAAACUGCCCGAUGGCGGGGGAUAACUACUGGAAACGGUAGCUAAUACCGCAUACCAUCGGAUGUGCCCUGAUGGGAUUAGCUAGUAGGUGGGGUAACGGCUCACCUAGGCGACGAUCCCUAGCUGGUCUGAGAGGAUGACCAGCAACACGGGAACUGAGACACGGUCCAGACUCCUACGGGAGGCAGCAGUGGGGAAUAUUGCACAAUGGGCGAAAGCCUGAUGCAGCCAGGCCGCGUGUAUGAAGAAGGCCUUCGGGUUGUAAAGUACUUUCAGCGAGGAGGCGUUACUCGAAGAAGAAGCAACGGCUAACUCCGUGCCAGCAGCCGCGGUAAUUC
rnacentral:rRNA from 1 species